rnacentral:tRNA from 1 species
GGUAUAGCUUAAUGGUAGAGUUUAUGCUUAGCGGGUUUGAGGGCCUGGGUUUAAUUCCCAGUACC